CAAAACCGUGAGGCUCAGGAUGGGAUGAGCUAAAUUGGAUAAUUCCUCUAGUGGUUGGAAGCAGGGCGUUACAAUUAAUGAUAUUAUCUUAUUUUUAUAAAAAAAAAAAAGGUAAUUUAGCUUGUAAUUAUUGUUAACUUGUUAAAACAAUAAAAAAAGAAAAUGAAAUAUUUAUUUGAUGUUGAAUGGAUUCAUUUUUCUAUUUGGUUAUCGGUAUUUUUAAUUGUUCAUA
rnacentral:misc_RNA from 1 species